GGUAAGAUGGCCGAAGCAGGUGCCGAGUUGUAGCCUCGGUUAUAAAGGUCAGCCCUUUUCUUAUCA
rnacentral:tRNA from 1 species